rnacentral:rRNA from 1 species
ACGUAGGGGGCGAGCGUUGUCCGGAAUCAUUGGGCGUAAAGGGCGUGUAGGCGGUUUUGUAAGUCAGAUGUGAAAACCUCAGGCUCAACUUCAAGCCUGCCUCUGAAACUACAACACUGGAGGGCGGGAGAGGAAGAUGGAAUUCCAUGUGUAGCAGUGAAAUGCGUAGAUAUGUGGAGGAACACCAGUGGCGAAGGCAACUCUCUGGACUUGACCUGACGCUGAGGCGCGAAAGCGUGGGGAGCGAACGG